rnacentral:rRNA from 1 species
GACGUAGGGCGCGAGCGUUGUCCGGAUUUAUUGGGCGUAAAGAGCUCGUAGGCGGCUUGUUGCGUCGGCUGUGAAAACCCAUGGCUCAACCGUGGGCUUGCAGCCGAUACGGGCAGGCUAGAGUUCGGUAGGGGAGACUGGAAUUCCUGGUGUAGCGGUGAAAUGCGCAGAUAUCAGGAGGAACACCAGUGGCGAAGGCGGUGCUCUGGGCCGGUACUGACGCUGAGGAGCGAAAGCGUGGGUAGCAAACAGG